CAAAUCUUUGGUGUGUAUUUGCAAAUGCCAAAGAGAAACAUAAAAGAAUGGUUUUCCUAUGGAACACUGAAGAAAAAUGUCGAUCCUGAUCUUUCCUCUGUCUCCUGCUUGCCCCCUGCCCUACGAGGCCAAGCAGCCAAGCAAGUGGUCAACAGGUGGCCUCUCCGAGCAGAACCGUUUCAGAUGUUUAAGAGAAAUGACAUUUUAGGAGUGGAGCAAUGAGCUCAACUUUCUGUGACAAACUUCAGGGGUACUUGUUUAAAAGCAUGUUAUUUGUGCUUCACCCACAAAGGUUCCAAUUUGGAAGAGCUGAACUGGGCCCAGGAAUGUAUAUCCUUUGUGUGUCCAGGAGGAGGUGUGGGUGGAGAUAAGCAGCUCCUUGACCACACUUCAAGCAACAACUGGGGUGUGAUUCUGAGGCAUGUCUUCUCCUCCUCCAUUGACUUUCUCCUCUCCAAAGGGUUAUCACUGGUGUGACCAGCUCCUCCAGAGGUACCUAAGGUGAUCUCAUAGCAAAGACCCACGCCCUGGACCCAUCCUGCUAGUGAUGAAUCUGAAGGUUCUGAAGGUUCUGUGCAUAACCAUGUGGAGCCUGAGUGCACAGGGGCCCAGAGCUAUCCUGAUUUCUAAUCUGGAGCUCUUUUGUCUCUACCAAACUGCUUCUUUAUUGAAACUUUACAUCCUGAGGGGUUCACUGAAUAACAGCGACCCCAAGGCACCUAGAAACAAGCAAUGUCAUGUUUCUGUACUUGGAUUAGAAAACAGGAAGGGAAGGCAGGAGAGUGUGUGGUGUAUCUUAGAAAAACUUUUUAAACGUGAUACAAUCUGAGGAAAAUUUGCAUUGAUGCCAGUAGAGGGCUAGAUAGCUUUAAAAUUGAUCAUUUAAAUGUAUUGACGUAGAAACGUAUUCACAAUAUACUUUAAAUGGAAAGCUGUGUUAGGGUCAAGUCUUACAAUGCGAUUCCACGGUUGCACUGCCACACACACACACUUACAUAUGUGCCCAGAAAAGCAUUGGAAGUAAACCACGUCCUCCUGUUAAUAGCAAUUGUUUCUGGGUGGUGGAGUUUAGGGGAACUGAUGCACUUUUUUCUUUGGUUUUGCCCAUCUGUACUGUAACUUUCCCCGAACAAAUGUGCAUCACUUGUGUCAUAAUUUACUUUUUUUAAAUACAUGGAAACAACCACAGUCUGUAUUUAUUCUCUGGUUAAAGUGCUAAGCCUUGUAAUCUAGAAUAUUCAUCUGUCCGAGACUGUACCCUGGGACUCAUCUCACGAUGAGACAUUUGGCCUCCUCCCCAACUCAGUUUCAGAAUUCAUCUGCUGGAUUUCUGAGUCCCACUGAGUGAUUAAUGUCACACGGGUGACAAGGCAUGACUCAUAGGCACCAAGAAAGCAGCAGCAGUGUGUGCAGGCCGGGAAGUUGCCACAGCCCUCACUCAGGGCUUCAUGCACGCCAGGGCAGUCCUGGGUCAAUGGUCUCUUUCCCCUCCUCCUGUUGGAUAGAUGAAGAGGCCUGAGCAGGAAGGUGGUGGUUCCGUGGGGAAUCUUCAGUGACUGGAGUAUGUUGUAAGGAUGGUGAAUCGUCACUUGGCCAGCCAGGGUUUGGCAGUCAAGACAGAGAGCAGUGUCUGGGCCCACAGCAUGAGAGACUGCUGGACUUCAGUCUUCGGAGCAGGCAAGAACGGGGAGCUUCUGUGGAUUUCUAUUCCUGUCGCCUGUCACUGUGAACAGUGCCCAGUACUGCUGGUCAGUAAAUGUUUGCUAAAAUACUGAGCAACCAAGGAAGUGACUUCAGUUGAACUCUGUACCUGUUGUGUUCACUUCCUUUGCAACAUGCGUGACUAAUGGUUACUCCUUCUCUUGAAUGCUUCCAGAAGAGUAGCACUCACCACCUCAUGAGGAAAGGCACUGCAACUUUGGUCAAUGAUAUCUGUUAGAAAGAUCUUUUCCUAUAUUUAGAAGAGUGAUUCUCAUACCUGAGCAUGUAUGAGAAUCAGUGGGUUUGAGGUGGGCCCAAGAAUUUCCCUUUCUAACAAGUUCCCAGAAGAUGCUGAUGUGGCAGCUUCUAGCACAGUGCUUGGAAAUCCAUGAGUUUUCAAGAGGACAAUCUAAAGUGUUCCUUUGUUUUCCUUUACUUCCCCUCAUUCUCAAAUCCUAUGGGGAUGACACAGAGAACCACAAACAAAACAACACACACACACACACACACACACACACAUACACACACAGAGCACCCUUGUCCCUAGCUUUAUCCUCUGGGAUACACAGGACAAGCUCCUCCCUGUUCUAUGUGCAACUUUUAAAAUAUGUGCAACUUUUAAAAUACGUGGAUGUGGCUUUCACAUCUUCUUAGUCCCUCUUUAGCAGAUUUUUUACAAAACAAAUAAGCCAGGAAACCAUGGUCUGAAAGGAUUCCUGCUCUGGUGAGAUCCAAGACCCACAGCGAGGGCGAAGACAGAGGUCUUGCUGCAGCCCCGGCUUCCUCCACAUGGAGGUCCCAGGAAGACGGCAUAAGCCAUUGCCUCGAUAAUAACCUGCUUGCUAACUUCCAGCCAGUGCUUCCACAUUUUCAUGACUUCCAAAGGUUCAGAUGAGGAUGGUAGUUGUGAGUUUGGGAUGAAGUCUUCUGAGCGACUCCUAUGGCCCAGCCACAGGGACCUGGGGCUGGAGAGAGAGGACCAUCCCAGGCUGCAGCAGCCAACACCUGUGUGGAGGUGCAGGCCCGUGGCCCCCAGCUGUGGUGGACACAGCUGUGCUUCCUGAUAGCACCCUUCCCUGCACCUACACCGUGACAUCCUCCUCCUCAGCCUGAGUGCAGGCACCACCUGAAGGGUAUUUGGGGGAGGGCACCAGUGUCCCCAAGGUAGGAGCUAGUGCAUAUGGCCUCGUCCUUCAGAGGGACAAUUCUGAGAGGCAAUCUGCGUGCUUUCAAAGGCCCAGAAACACACCCUGUGUUGCCUCCUCCCUGUCUGACUCUUCCUCUUCCUCCUGCUCCCUGGGACCAGCUCCCAAACAAACUCAAUUUCUUCUCUCAGUCGAAGUUUGCUAAGUGAGUGAAGAGUCAAAUAAAUGAUGUUGCUUAACUCUCCCUCUGAUGUGUGAAUGUCCUCUAGGAACAAGCCUUUUGUAGGAGAACUGUAGGCCAGGGCUGAGUGCACCUGGGAUGCAGGAUCUCCAGGGGGGACCUAUCACUUGUGCGAAUUUAAACCUGCUCAGAGCUUAGGGCCCGGCUCUGCUCAAGAUGGGCAGAAAUAAAGAAGACUAAACAUUUACAUCUCAAGAGUUUAUUUACCCUGGCCUGACUCUUCAAAAAAUGCCAUUGCUGCUACCCUGAGGAUUAACCAUGGCCAUUUUUAGACCAGGUGCCAUCCUGCCUUUAGCCUCGGGUCACCCCUCUGACUCACUGCCAGGAAACGGAGCCUAGACCCUGAUGUGUGGUGAGAAUUGGCCUGGUUUUCACCUGAGAUCCACACUUGAGAAAGCUGAUUGAACUCACAGCGUGCCAUCCUGCCUAAGAUCCUCUUCAGAGAUUCUAUUUCCCAGAGGGAGGGGAUCACUUUCCGCAGUGGGGUUUCUAUCUGGGACAUUUCUCUUCAUCUGUAGGAACCCUAUUUAAAGGCUAGAAAAUCUGAGGGAGAAGUGGAAAGAAGAAAGCUGUGUAGCUGUGACGAUGGCCUGGGACAUGGAUUCCCAAAGCCUGACCCUCCGCUGUGCCCCCUGCUCCCCAGCAGGCAUGGUUAGCCUGUCAUGGAACCCUGCACCUGAGCCUGGGCGAGCUCCAGAUUCCUCAGCACACAGAGCUCCAAGCUCCUCCUGCCAGGCCGCCAGGGCUGGCUCCCGAGAGAAUGCACAAGCCUUUUGUGGUGUCUGAGAAAACACAGCUGAAUCUACUAGGCAAGGGGUUGUAUAGGGCACCUCGGGAAGAAGUCGCACAGGUGCCCCCAGAGAUCUCAGGGGCAGGGAGGGGCUCACCCAUAAGGGAAGGGGAGGACUCAGAAGGCUUUGAGGAAGAGGCAGCUCCUAAAAUGGGUGAGGGCAGAGUGUGCCCUGAGGCCCCACAGCAGGCAAGCAGGUGACUGGAGAAGCAGCUAGGUCUGGUGCCUGUGUGCCAGGCUUGUAUGCCAGGGCUGGGCUGCAUGGGAUGCACAAUGCUACUGGGCCAGCACCAUCAGCAGUGUACUGCCCCUCACACCCAGGGCAGGCCUUGAAGCUAAGAGAGGGAUGGGGCAGUGCCCAUCGUUCUCCUGCCACUGGAGUGUGACCUUCUGGUGCCAUGACAGCCAGUGGGUGGCAGGUGCCUGCCCCUCUUCCCAUAGGCUGCCCCAGGAGGAAGAGGGGCCCGUUCCUGUGAGUAGAGCACAGUGAAACCACUCUCUUUUCUGCACAGUGAAAGAGACAUCCUUCACGGGGUGCAGAGAAGCUGCUGCCCUUUCCUCCCCGUCAGGCCAGAGUCUUCCCUACUCCCUGCUGGGGCCAGGGAGGACAGAGGCAGCCCUGAAGCUUCCUGUGGCUCAACUCUUGAAGGCUGCUCAGUUAGAGAAAAAGGAUGGUGCUGACCAUGGAGGAAUCUCACACACACUCCAGGCACCCUGCCUCUGCCUUGCUCUCUGCAGUGGCCACUGAGAACUCUUAGGAAUUGACCCUUGCUUCUUAGGCACUGGGCAUGAGAGAGGGCCCUCCCUUGCUGUGGGGGCCUCCCAAGACCAGGGAGGCUGGGCCUCUGGAGGUCUCCCCUGAAACUCCUUACCCAGCGGGAUCAUGCCCUGGGCCUUUGUGCCUGCCGGAAUCCUGGUGGGUGGAGGAAAUCCGUUACCCUCAUGAGAGCUACCUGCCUAGACCCCUGCUGACCUGACCUCACCUUUUGUUUGACCCAGGAACUUACCCGCCCCUUGCUGGGGGUUGGAACUGUCACAUGUCCUAAGCCAGCAUGAACAGGCAGGAUAGUUAGGCUGACUGUGAUUGUGCUGGCCAUGAUGCUCGACUUGGCCCUAGGCUUGACUUUGUUUCAUCUGUAAUAGUCUCCAUUUUUUCUUGCUGUGAAGUAAGCCACCUCAAAACUUAGUGGCUUAAAACAGCAGUUUAUUCUUCUUCCCUACCAUGGGUUGAGUGUGUGGUCCUUCUGCUGUGCUUGAUGUGACUGUGUGGCGUCGUCACAGGGGGGCUUAAAUGGGGUGAGACACCAAGCAUGGCUCAUUCAGAGGCCCAGUGCUUUGGGGAACGGCCAGGAGGCUGCACUCAGCCAGGACCCUCAGCGUCAUCUCAGGGUCUCUGCCUCUCUUCGUGGCCUCUCCAUGUGGACUUUUUAAUUACAUGGCAGCUCAGCACUCCCAGAGCACAAAUAGGAGCUCUAUCUGUAGGAGGUGGCCAGGCCUUCUACAGCCACAGGCCCAGGUCCCUUCCACCACAGCAUGUGGGUCACAGACCUGCCCUGACUCACACAGUGGAAGGCAACAGGGCAGCAUGCACACCGAAAGCCAUCACUGGAUCCUGUGUUUACAGCAUCUCAAUUCCACAGCAACACCCGAGUUUCCAUCAAGGAGGCAAUGAAGACCCAGCCCGGGCAGCAGGAGGCAGCGGUGUUAUCAGGGGCCCACUCGUUCUGAGGGACCAUAAAAAUACUAGGAAAAGAUCAUUUUUCAUCUUGACUACUUAACAAUCUUACAGUUUUAUUAUAGUCUUAAAGCUCCUGGCCAGGGUUUUAUCUUUGGGAAGUAUCUCUUUAUGUGCCAAGUGCCACCAAACAGCAUCUGUUGGUGCCUCCUCCUACAGGAAGCAAGUGCCUCCUCAUACAGGAAGCACUGGCAUUAGGAACACCCUGUAUUUCUCGCCUGCAGCUGCACUGUGUCACUCACUGAUGUCAUUCUCCUAUCUGAAGGGCUCAGGGUCCACUCUCCAGCCUGACCUGCUGCGAGGUCACUUAGCUAAGACCAGCUAAAAAUAGCAACUGUUGCUCAGAAGCACCGGCUCUGCAUCAUGGGCUCACCCUGACGCCUAUGCCUCCCCGGGGACAGGGCCGCACGAUGGAGGAAGAGCCGACUGAGCCAGCUCCAGCCACCUUCUCCAAGCACAGGACCUUGUGAGCUGUGAGCUGACUAACAGCUUCAGCAUCGAGCUUUGGGGGAUAUUAAUGCUUAGCUGAUAAGCAUUAAUCAUAUCCCACUUAAGUAAUGGUUGGGCCAAUUUCUGUUUUCAAUUAAGAAUAAAAUGUAAGCAUUUGGUUCAUAUAUAAGCAAUCUUCAGUGAAUGGUAAAUUAUUAUUUUGGGAAAAAAAGUAAAAUGGACAUGUACUUAGAACUAAACUCAGAGCCUUGGGCAGUGUCUAGGAUUUCUCUUUGGAAGUUGGAUUGGGAAGAGGAUGUGCCUGGGAGCUUAUUGGAUCUGAGGGGUGGGAGGAGACUUCCCCAGAUCCACCGCACUGCCACAGUCUCUCUCAAGGCAUCUCCAAAGGUGGCAUCCCAACCUCAAAGUGACAGAAGAAGAAUCAUGGGCCAUCGGCGGCACUGGUUUUCUAGGUUGUGUUAUAAUUUUCAUUUCCCCAUAGAUGAAAAAUGUCAAUUGUGUUCAUCUUGAAGGCUAUGUUAGAAUUAGAAUGCUAUUAAAAUUUUCAUGGAUAAUCUUAAAAAAAUGCAAUGAUGAACAUAACUACCUCCUAGAAAUUGUGUUUCUUUCUUCCUUUAAAGUGAAAAAAAAUAUUACCUGUUGCUACCCUGUUCACCAUUAGCCUUCAACGUGAAUGGUGCAAAGCAUUUUCAGUGUUAAGGCGGUUAAAAUGGUCUUUUAGGAACAGCUUAGACAUUAGCAGAAUGCCUUCCUUAUUCUAUCACCGUAUUAGGAGAAACAAGCAGAGCCCCCACCCCAAGCCUGUAUUCUGUCCACUCCCAGUAGGUAUCAGACAGAAAUCUGCGAAGCCCCUCAGUGCUUUAGGUGAAUCGGUGCUGACAUCAGCUCUGAACUUUCCUUCUUCCACCCAGGUCUGACAGAGGACAGGUGAGCAAAUCUCCUCAAAGCAAGUCAGACAGAGCCUGGCACCGCAAGAUCAGGGGAGAGGUCUUCAGAAACAGCAGGCUGACAUUCUCCCCUUCCCAGAGGAGAAAAAGGCCCUCUAACUGAGAAACAGUUUCACCAUCAGUGGACAGCUCUCCCAUGCUCAGCCCAUGCCCUGAGAGGCCAGAACCCCAGUGCAGGCCACGCACCCACAUCCACUCCUCAUGUUAGAGGUUGUGUGCGACUGCUAGGGCUGCUGGGUAGACUGUGUGGCUUCAACUACAGGCCUUGAUUUCCUCACAAUUCUGGAGGCCAGAAGUCUGAGAUCCAGGUGCCAGCAGGGUGGGUUUCUUCUGAGGCCUCCCUCCUCAGCUUGCCAACGUCCAUCUUCUCUCUGUGUCCUCACAGGGCCCUUCCUGUGUGUCUGGAUCCUAAUCUCCUCUUAUUGUUAAAGAUACCACUGAGAUUGGAUUAAGACCCAGCCCAAUGACCUCAUUUUACCUUAGUCACCACUCUAAAGGCCCUAUCUACAAUACAGUCCCAUUCUGAGGUACCAGGAGUCAAGGCUUCAACACAGGAAUUUUAGGGGAGACAGAAUUUAGUCUCUAACAGAGGUCAUCUCAUUUAAACCCUUGGACUUGAAAGUGUACUCCUCAUCUGAACUGCUGCAGGUAAGGAUGGGAAUUAAGAGACCCAAGGAGGAGUGACUGUUGUAUCAGGACAAGCUUGCUGAAUUGAAAUGAAAAACAGAAAUCUGUCCAUUGUGCCAGUCCCAUUCCCUCUGGACUCAGCUCUAACAAGGUUUGGAAGGCCAAACUCCCAGAUGCUGAAAGACAAUGAAGUUUAAAAACAAGUCCAUUGGUGGCAUCCAGAUCAGAGUUUCCAAUCAGAUACCUGGUCCUCUACGAUUUUCACACCCAGCAGGGAGGAGAGCAGGCAGCCCUUUCUUUCCACACUCCCUGCCCACUUCACAACAAUAGUUGGGAAUGUGUUUCUGUGAAAGAAGUUCACAGCCAGCCACAGUGGCUCAUGUUUGUAACCUUGCACUUUAGAAGGCGAGGCAGAAGGGUUGCUUGAGCCCAGGAGUUCCAGGUUACAGUGAGCUAUGAUUGCGCCACUGCAC
rnacentral:lncRNA from 1 species